UACGUCAAAAGCCCCUAAUGAAGCUUUUACUUCUAGCAUCGUGGGCUUAAUUAUUUUGGACUUCUUUCUUUUAUAAUCAUUUUGCCAUGCUAUUUUAAUAUAGAGGUUGCUCUCUACACCUCCCCUUUUCCUUCUUCCACCUCUCCAAUUUUCUUUAAUUUUUUUUAUUACAAAACUAACCUUUUUUUUACCUUUUUUACCCUUGUCUCUAUUUACAGUCUCACCUCCACCUCCCAAGCUUGUAGAUUAUUUACCUUCUCCCCACCACAGUAUCCUUGUAUUCACUCAUCCUCUGCCUUAACCCCUGAAGCUAGUUAUUUCAUGCUUGAAAAGGGUCACUUAUCCUUGGUAAAGAAAACUAGAAAAGACAUUUCGACAAACAUAUUCAUAAGUUGAUUUAUUUAUUUAUUUUUAUGGGUAUCUGUGUCUGUGACCAAAUGUUGUGAAACCAAAUUGAUACAGGUAAUGACUAAUGGGAGGUUUGAAAAUGUAAAGCAUGAGGUUUAAAAGAUUGAACUUUGUUGUCACCCUGAAAAUAAACUUUUGCUUUUACUGAAAAGUAAAAUAAGAAUAGAAAAAACAGAAUAAAGGGUAAAAGAAGAAGACGGGAGGUAGAAGGAGGAAAUGGGAAAGUAGAGAGAGCAUCAACCUUUUAAUAUUUAAUAAAUUAAAAUGUUGACAUCAAAAAGAGUAGCAACUUCCAAAUCAAAAUAUUUUACAAUAUUAUAUUCAAAACUUAUAACAUAAACAUGCAAAGAUAGAGUUAAUAACAACUACAGUAAAAAAUAGU
rnacentral:lncRNA from 1 species